CUGGGCUUCGUCGUCUCCUCCCUUAAUGGGUGGCGAGUAAAGAAGCGUCGCAGGAGUUCGGGUGCAGUGUAGUCGCACGAAGCGAGUUCGUGGCCCAUACGCUGCCUCGUCUCUGUUGGCUUGAUGCAAGGCUCGCGGGAGUGAUUGACGGUUAGCGGCGAGUAGAUCGGUCACCCACCUGACCCGUCUUGAAACACGGACCAAGGAGUUUAACAUGUGCGCGAGUCAAUGGGUCUUGAAUAAGCCCGGCGGCGCAAUGAAAGUACAGGCCGGAGGAGUCCGGCCGCAUUCGGGAUCCCCGCUCCCUCGCGGGCGGGGCGCACCGAAGACCCGCCGCGUUCCACUCGUGGAUGUGGCGGAGUUUGAGCGCACACGUUGACACCCGAAAGAUGGUGAUCUAUGCCCGGACAGGACGAGGCCAGAGGAAACUCUGGUGGAGGUCCGUAGCGGUUCUGACGUGCAAAUCGAUCGUCAGAUCUGGG
rnacentral:rRNA from 1 species